rnacentral:rRNA from 1 species
UACGGGGGGAGCAAGCGUUGUUCGGAUUUACUGGGCGUAAAGAGCGCGCAGGCGGUCGUUCAAGUCGCGUGUGAAAGCCCCCGGCUCAACUGGGGAGGGUCACGCGAUACUGAUCGACUCGAAGGCAGGAGAGGGUAGUGGAAUUCCCGGUGUAGUGGUGAAAUGCGUAGAUAUCGGGAGGAACACCAGUGGCGAAGGCGACUACCUGGCCUGUUCUUGACGCUGAGGCGCGAAAGCUAGGGGAGCAAACAGG